GCCUGGGAGGCUCAUCGGUUAAGCAUCUGACUUCAGCUCAGGUCAUGAUCUCACGGUUUGUGGGUUUGAGCCCCAUGUCAGGCU
rnacentral:tRNA from 1 species